GGAGUUAGCCGGUGCUUCUUCUGUGAGUGAUGUCCUUCCUGCCGGCUAUUAACCCGCAGGCCUUCUUCCUCACUGAAAGUGCUUUACAACCCGAAGGCCUUCUUCACACACGCGGCAUGGCUGGAUCAGGGUUGCCCCCAUUGUCCAAUAUUCCCCACUGCUGCCUCCCGUAGGAGUCUGGGCCGUGUCUCAGUCCCAGUGUGGCUGAUCAUCCUCUCAGACCAGCUACGGAUCGUCGCCUUGGUGAGCCGUUACCUCACCAACCAGCUAAUCCGACAUAGGCUCAUCCGAUAGCGCGAGGCCCGAAGGUCCCCCGCUUUCCCCCGUAGGGCGUAUGCGGUAUUAGCCUGGGUUUCCCCCAGGUUAUCCCCCACUACCGGGCAGAUUCCUAUGCAUUACUCACCCGUCCGCCGCUCGCCACCAGGGAGCAAGCUCCCCGUGCUGCCGCUCGACUUGCAUGUGUUAGGCCUGCCGCCAGCGUUCAAUCUGAGCCAGUACGACGUAACCCUAACGUACCUGGACGUCGGGACGUCGGGGCUAGGGGCCGACGGACGUACGACUA
rnacentral:rRNA from 1 species